UUAGUGGCGGACGGGUGAGUAACGCGUGGAUAACCUGCCGUAUACCGGGGGAUAACACUUAGAAAUAGGUGCUAAUACCGCAUAAGCGCACGGCUCCGCAUGGGGCAGUGUGAAAAACUACCGGUGGUAUACGAUGGAUCCGCGUCUGAUUAGCUAGUUGGCGGGGUAACGGCCCACCCAAGGCAGCGAUCAGUAGCCGGCCUGAGAGGGUGGACGGCCACAUUGGGACUGAGACACGGCCCAAACUCCUACGGAAGGCAGCAG
rnacentral:rRNA from 1 species